rnacentral:siRNA from 1 species
UAUUUUCCCACCAACACCGUAAA